CCGGCGACCGGCGGACGGGUGCGUAACGCGUAUGUAACCUACCUUUGACAGGGGGAUAACAUCGAGAAAUUGGUACUAAUACCCCAUAACAUCACCGGAGGCAUCUUCGGUGGUUGAAAACUCAGGUGGUCAGAGAUGGACAUGCGUUGUAUUAGCUAGUUGGUGAGGUAACGGCUCACCAAGGCGACGAUGUCUAGGGGUUCUGAGAGGAAGGUCCCCCCACACUGGUACUGAGACACGGACCAGACUCCUACGGGAGGCAGCAG
rnacentral:rRNA from 1 species